UACGUAGGGUGCAAGCGUUAUCCGGAAUUAUUGGGCGUAAAGAGCUCGUAGGCGGUUUGUCGCGUCUGCUGUGAAAACUGGAGGCUCAACCUCCAGCCUGCAGUGGGUACGGGCAAACUAGAGUGCGGUAGGGGAGAUUGGAAUUCCUGGUGUAGCGGUGGAAUGCGCAGAUAUCAGGAGGAACACCGAUGGCGAAGGCGGGUCUCUGGGCAGUAACUGACGCUGAGGAGCGAAAGCGUGGGGAGCGAACAGG
rnacentral:rRNA from 1 species